rnacentral:rRNA from 1 species
UACGGGGGGAGCAAGCGUUGUUCGGAUUUACUGGGCGUAAAGGGCGCGUAGGCGGCCUCUGCAAGUCGACUGUGAAAUCUCCGGGCUUAACCCGGAAAGGUCAGCCGAUACUGCAGGGCUAGAGUGCAGAAGGGGCAACUGGAAUUCUCGGUGUAGCGGUGAAAUGCGUAGAUAUCAGGAGGAACACCGGUGGCGAAGGCGGGUCUCUGGGCCGAUACUGACGCUGAGGAGCGAAAGCGUGGGGAGCGAACAGG